rnacentral:rRNA from 1 species
UACGUAGGACCCAAGCGUUAUUCGGAUUGACUGGGCGUAAAGAGUUGCGUAGGCGGUUUGUUAAGCGAAUAGUGAAAUCUUGUGGCUCAACCAUAAGGCUGUUAUUCGAACUGGCAAACUCGAGAAUGGAAGAGGUAUCUGGAAUUCCCAGUGUAGGAGUGAAAUCCGUAGAUAUUGGGAGGAACACCAAUGGCGUAGGCAGGAUACUGGUCCAUUUCUGACGCUGAGGCACGAAAGCGUGGGGAGCGAACGGG